rnacentral:misc_RNA from 1 species
AAAAAAAAAAAAAAAUCAGCAAACCAUGGAAAAUCAAAGAGAAAUUCCCAAAAAAAUGAAGAUCAGAGAAAUUUAUUUGAUGAAAUUUCGCAUAGAUUGGUGGAAUUGUUUGGAGUUCAAAGCCAAGAAUGGGUACUGCCAAUAUUCCAUGAACGAAAAUGUUCCAAGAAUUGUUCCAAGCAAUGAGGUAGAAUAAAGAACACCAAUUGAAGAUUUGAAGCUCGUUGUUAUCCAAAAAGGAAGCAAUCUUGAACUCAAAUUGAAGGAUGGCGAGUACCUCUUUAUUGUUGGAAAAAUUGAAGACUUCAAAAUCAACAAGAAACCCUCUAAUCAAUAUUACGAUGGUAUUAUUCUUGUUUCUAAAAUUGUUGAAGUUUUUGAGAAAACCUUCGGUGCGCCAUUAAAAAAUUCUGGUCUUUACAUUCUUUUGUUGUUUAGAUUCUUGAAGACAUUUUUCUUAAAGGGAAGAAAUAAGGCGGUUAGAGAAAUUGUGAGUGUUGUAAGAAAGUUGAAGAAUUUUGGGAGCCACUAUAUGAUUUCCUAAUUCUCAUGGAAGAUAAAUGGGAAGUAUCAAGAAGGCAGAGGUUUAAGGAAGACGCAUUGACAACCAAGAUGAUAAUAAGGCAAAGAAAGAGAUAUGUGGUGGAAGAUGGUAGAGGAUUGUGGUGAUUGUGUUGAUUUUGAUUUGGGUGACAAUGAUUUUGGGUUGAUUUCACGUGAUUACAUUAUCCUUAAAGAAAAUGAGUCAAGAGGUGGUGAAGGCAGAGGAAGAAAUUUAAUGAGGGUUAUGUUCUUGUUGCUGGAAAAAUUGCCACAGCUAAGGAAAAGAAUUGUGCUGAGGAAAACGCCAAUAUUACGGUGGUGAUGAUUUUGAAUUGAGACCAUGUAGUGCUCUUGACAUGAGAUUGUAUUGGUAUUUGAUUCUCAAGGUGGAUGCAUUUGAAAGUUGGAGAAGGCAAUAGAAGAUGAUGAAUGGCGAAGGAAGAAGAUGAAUCUUG